rnacentral:lncRNA from 1 species
AGAACACUUCAUAUUUAAGCCUUGAUCAAGCAUUUGUAGGGCUGAAAAAUGGGCAUAACAUGUGGGAUAAAGACAAAAAAUCGUCUUUAGUUUUCAACAAGCAUUGCUGGAACGCUGCUACUUUGCCACGAGUUUCUAAAGCUCCUAGAAACAUCCUAGCCGAAACUACGAUUCAUUAUCUGAAACUGCUAGAAACAUCCUAGGCGCCACGUUAGUACUCAAGAG